rnacentral:rRNA from 1 species
GAUGAACGCUGGCGGCGUGCCUAAUACAUGCAAGUCGAGCGAACGGACGAGAAGCUUGCUUCUCUGAUGUUAGCGGCGGACGGGUGAGUAACACGUGGAUAACCUACCUAUAAGACUGGGAUAACUUCGGGAAACCGGAGCUAAUACCGGAUAAUAUUUUGAACCGCAUGGUUCAAAAGUGAAAGACGGUCUUGCUGUCACUUAUAGAUGGAUCCGCGCUGCAUUAGCUAGUUGGUAAGGUAACGGCUUACCAAGGCAACGAUGCAUAGCCGACCUGAGGGGGUGAUCGGCCACACUGGAACUGAGACACGGUCCAGACUCCUACGGGAGGCAGCAGUAGGGAAUCUUCCGCAAUGGGCGAAAGCCUGACGGAGCAACGCCGCGUGAGUGAUGAAGGUCUUCGGAUUGUAAAACUCUGUUAUUAGGGAAGAACAUAUGUGUAAGUAACUGUGCACAUCUUGACGGUACCUAAUCAGAAAGCCACGGCUAACUACGUG